AGGUAAAUAGCUCAAUGGUAGAACACAUGCUUAGCAUGCAUGAGGUCCUGGAUUCAAUCCCCAGUACCUC
rnacentral:tRNA from 1 species